rnacentral:rRNA from 1 species
AUUGAACGCUGGCGGCAGGCCUAACACAUGCAAGUCGAGCGAGCGGCGGACGGGUGAGUACUGUAUGGGGACUGCCCGAUAGAGGGGGAUAACUACUGGAAACGGUAGCUACUACCGCAUACUAUCGGAUAACCCAUAUGGGAUUAGCUAGUAGGUGGGGUAAUGGCUAACCUAGGCGACGAUCCCUAGCUGGUCUGAGAGGAUGAUCCGCCACAAUGGGACUGAGACACGGCCCAGACUCCUACGGGGGCAGAAGUGGGGAAUUUUGCACAAUGGGAGAAAGCCUGAUGAAGCCAUGCCGCGUGUAUGAGGAAGGCCCUAGGGUUGUAAAGUACUUUCAGUCGGGAGGCGUUACCGACAGAAGAAGCACCGGCUAACUCCGUGCCAGCAGCCGCGGUAAUUC